CUGACGUGUAGCUCAAUCGGCAGAGCACCCGCCUGUUAAGCGGGACGUUCCAGGUUCGAGUCCUGGCAUGUCAGCCAC
rnacentral:tRNA from 1 species